rnacentral:rRNA from 1 species
AAUUUUCGGCAAUGGGGGCAACCCCGACCGCGCGACGCCGCGUGAGUGAAGAAGGUCCUCGGAUUGUAAAGCCCCGUUGUAAGGGAAGAACCGUACCAGUAGGGAAUGACUGGUACCUGACGGUAACUUACCAGCUAGCCACGGCUAACUACCUUCCAGCAGCCGCGGUAAUACGUAGGUGGCAAGCGUUAUCCGGAAUUAUUGGGCGUAAAGGGAGCGCAGGCGGCUUAUUAAGUCUGAGGUUAAGGCUCGGGGCUCAACCCCGUGAUGCAUUAGAAACUGGUAGGCUAGAGUGCAGGAGAGGUGAGUGGAAUUCCAUGUGUAGCGGUAAAAUGCGUAGAUAUAUGGAGGAACACCAGUGGCGAAGGCGGCUCACUGGCCUGUAACUGACGCUGAGGCUCGAAAGCGUGGGGAGCAAAUA